rnacentral:rRNA from 1 species
CGGGUGAGUAAUGUAUGGGGAUCUGCCUGAUGGCGGGGGAUAACUACUGGAAACGGUAGCUAAUACCGCAUAACGUCGCAAGACCAAAGAGGGGGACCUUCGGGCCUCUUGCCAUCGGAUGUGCCCAGAUGGGAUUAGCUAGUAGGUGGGGUAACGGCUUACCUAGGCGACGAUCCCUAGCUGGUCUGAGAGGAUGAUCAGCCACACUGGGACUGAGACACGGCCCAG